AACUUAGAAUGUGUAUAAUUGUUCUAGGUUGAAAUUGUAAUAUUUCUCUUUCUGUACGUAUUCUUUUCACAUGCAUGCACUAAGACUUUGCACAAGCACGCAGAUGCAUGGGAGGGGUGGGGUGAGUAAUUUAUAGCGAAACAAGUUUUCCUUUAUUAUUACAGCAUCCUCAGUAAAACAAGUUGUAGUAGCAGAUUCACAUAGAAGUAGAAAGACCCUGUAUUUAGAAAGACCCUGUAUUUAGAUAUAAGUAAUGCAAAUAGAUAAGGCGAUGACAACCCCCAAUGCUCCUAAUCUUUAUUUCUCAAUUCCCACCGCGAUUCUCCUUUCAUCUUAGUUGAUGCUCUGACAAUCAGUGGUUUUGGAGAUGGGAAUAUUCAAACUGAACCCCAUACUUCUGAGGGAGGGAGGUGGCAGCAGCAUCCUGUAUAUUUGGGUAGCGAGCAGCGGCUGUCCUAACACACUCGCAUGCAGCUCUCUUAUCUGCGGUAGUUGGAGCAAGUGCCUGCAAAUUCUUGAUUCCUGCGCAACAUGCAGGCGAAGGAGAAGCACCCCUCCCGUCAAGAAGGGAAUGCAAGGCGCCAAGGAAGAGUUCACUUGCCCACAAUCAACUGCCUCUCCUUGCAUCCCCAUAAAUUGAACCAGAGCAACCACAACCAACACUGAGAUGACUAUUCCCGUCAUUUUUGCUGGAGGUUGUGAACUUCCUAACUGAGACUUAAAGCUUGAAUUUCUUUGAGUGUCAUGAGGUACUGAUUGGAG
rnacentral:misc_RNA from 1 species